rnacentral:rRNA from 1 species
CCUACGGGAGGCUGCAGUGGGGAAUUUUGGACAAUGGGGGCAACCCUGAUCCAGCCAUGCCGCGUGAGUGAAGAAGGCCUUCGGGUUGUAAAGCUCUUUCGGCCGGGAAGAAAUCGCUCAAGCUAAUACCUUGGGUGGAUGACGGUACCGGAAGAAGAAGCACCGGCUAACUACGUGCCAGCAGCCGCGGUAAUACGUAGGGUACGAGCGUUGAUCGAAGUUACUGGGCGUAACGCCUGCGCACACGGGUGAAAUCCCCGGGCUUAACCUGGGAACUGCUUUUGUGACUGGGGUGCUCGAGUGCGGCAGAGGGGGGUGGAAUUCCACGUGUAGCAGUGAAAUGCGUAGAGAUGUGGAGGAACACCGAUGGCGAAGGCAGCCCCCUGGGUCGACACUGACGCUCAUGCACGAAAGCGUGGGGAGCAAACAGGAUUAGAUACCCUAGUAGUC